rnacentral:rRNA from 1 species
GACGAACGCUGGCGGCGUGCUUAACACAUGCAAGUCGAACGGAAAGGCCCUGCUUUUGUGGGGUGCUCGAGUGGCGAACGGGUGAGUAACACGUGAGUAACCUGCCCUUGACUUUGGGAUAACUUCAGGAAACUGGGGCUAAUACCGGAUAGGAGCUCCUGCUGCAUGGUGGGGGUUGGAAAGUUUCGGCGGUUGGGGAUGGACUCGCGGCUUAUCAGCUUGUUGGUGGGGUAGUGGCUUACCAAGGCUUUGACGGGUAGCCGGCCUGAGAGGGUGACCGGCCACAUUGGGACUGAGAUACGGCCCAGACUCCUACGGGAGGCAGCAGUGGGGAAUAUUGCACAAUGGGCGGAAGCCUGAUGCAGCAACGCCGCGUGCGGGAUGACGGCCUUCGGGUUGUAAACCGCUUUCGCCUGUGACGAAGCGUGAGUGACGGUAAUGGGUAAAGAAGCACCGGCUAACUACGUGCCAGCAGCCGCGGUGAUACGUAGGGUGCGAGCGUUGUCCGGAUUUAUUGGGCGUAAAGGGCUCGUAGGUGGUUGAUCGCGUCGGAAGUGUAAUCUUGGGGCUUAACCCUGAGCGUGCUUUCGAUACGGGUUGACUUGAGGAAGGUAGGGGAGAAUGGAAUUCCUGGUGGAGCGGUGGAAUGCGCAGAUAUCAGGAGGAACACCAGUGGCGAAGGCGGUUCUCUGGGCCUUUCCUGACGCUGAGGAGCGAAAGCGUGGGGAGCGAACAGGCUUAGAUACCCUGGUAGUCCACGCUGUAAACGGUGGGUACUAGGUGUGGGGUCCAUUCCACGGGUUCCGUGCCGUAGCUAACGCUUUAAGUACCCCGCCUGGGGAGUACGGCCGCAAGGCUAAAACUCAAAGGAAUUGACGGGGCCCCGCACGAGCGGCGGAGCAUGCGGAUUAAUUCGAUGCAACGCGUAGAACCUUACCUGGGUUUGACAUGGAUCGGGAGCGCUCAGAGAUGGGUGUGCCUCUUUUGGGGUCGGUUCACAGGUGGUGCAUGGCUGUCGUCAGCUCGUGUCGUGAGAUGUUGGGUUAAGUCCCGCAACGAGCGCAACCCUUGUUCACUGUUGCCAGCACGUUAUGGUGGGGACUCAGUGGAGACCGCCGGGGUCAACUCGGAGGAAGGUGGGGAUGACGUCAAGUCAUCAUGCCCCUUAUGUCCAGGGCUUCACGCAUGCUACAAUGGCUGGUACAGAGAGUGGCGAGCCUGUGAGGGUGAGCGAAUCUCGGAAAGCCGGUCUCAGUCCGGAUUGGGGUCUGCAACUCGACCUCAUGAAGUCGGAGUCGCUAGUAAUCGCAGAUCAGCAACGCUGCGGUGAAUACGUUCCCGGG